UCACCGGUGGUCAACAUAUCUGUCCCAGUUUGCUUUAUACUGGAGGAACGCUUGAACUUUGCAAAACUGGAAAUUAAUUUUUUCUAACUACAAGUACUUUUUUUUUUAAUCAACUGUUUGAUGUUAUUCAUCUUAAACACUCUUGUUGUAGUGGGGCUCCAUUUCAGUUAAAUGGCAAGUUUGAGGAUUUUUUAUUUUUAUUUUUUAUUAUUUUUUUUCUUUUGCCCCACUAUAGGAGUAAAACUAGGCUCUAGGAUUCCAGAGCCUCGAGUCAAUGCUGUGAAGCCCCAUGCUUUGUGUUACCUCACCUUCGCACCAUUGCACUUGUUGAACCAUGUCUGAUGCUGUAGUGGCCCAGUGCCUGACACAGGGCUUGUACAGUGUCUGUUUACCGUGUCUCACUGGAUUUUAUUUUUAGAGUUUUUCAAUAUGACUUAAAACAAGAGAAAUUCACACAGUGGGAUAAAUAAUUCAAAAAACUAAAAAGGGAACCUGGAAAUGAAACCUUCAGACACUCGAGAAGAGUACAGUUCCAGUUCACGUGGAGAGAGGCAGGCUUUGUUUAUGUUGGAGUCAUGUUUGUUAAUAAACACUAAUUUUAAUGCUAUCAUUGAGGUCUUUUAUAGAAAAUUUUUAGUAAUCACAUUCACAAAUAAAACAGGAUUCUAGUUCUUAAGUAAAUCAAGAUUAUAUGUAUCAUUUCUUAGAAAUAAGUUAAUUUAAAAAGGUUAUUUUUAAUAGGCAAUUGGCCUAGGUUUUUCCGAAGCUGAGGUUUAAAAAACAAAACAAAACAACAGUUUCACCUUGAAUCGGGGAACAUUAAUAUUUCUAAACAUGUGUUUGUGUCACGUAUCGAGUAGAGUUCAUUUUAAGAGACUUGAUUUCCCCUUCCCAUGAUUUUUGGUUGGUAGAGGCUACGUGGGGUAGAUGGGAUUGGAUGUUUUCAGUUGUUUAAAUCAUUGUCAUUAAGUAUAAAAUGCAAAAUUAUUUAUGUUUUUGAAUGAAUCAUUCAUGUCACAAAUAAAAUCAGUCAUUGAGAAACC
rnacentral:lncRNA from 1 species